UACAGAGGGGGCAAGCGUUAUUCGGAAUUAUUGGGCGUAAAGGGCGCGUAGGCGGCAUGGCAAGUGGAUGGUGAAAUCCCUCGGCUUAACCGAGGAACUGCCGUCCAAACUGCUUCGCUUGAGACCGGGAGAGGUGAGUGGAAUUCCCAGUGUAGCGGUGAAAUGCGUAGAUAUCUGGAGGAACACCGGUGGCGAAGGCGGCAUCCUGGACCGACACUGACACUGAGGAGCGAAAGCCAGGGGAGCAAACGGG
rnacentral:rRNA from 1 species